rnacentral:rRNA from 1 species
AAUUUUGGGCAAUGGGCGAAAGCCUGACCCAGCAACGCCGCGUGAGGGAUGAAGUAUUUCGGUAUGUAAACCUCGAAAGAAUGGGAAGAAUAAAUGACGGUACCAUUUAUAAGCUCCGGCUAACUACGUGCCAGCAGCCGCGGUAAUACGUAGGGAGCAAGCGUUGUUCGGAUUUACUGGGCGUAAUGGGCGCGUAGGCGGCGCGGUAAGUCACUUGUGAAAUCUCUGAGCUUAACUCAGAACGGCCAAGUGAUACUGCUGUGCUAGAGUGCGGAAGAGGCAACCGGAAUUCUUGGUGGAGCGGUGAAAUGCGUAGAUAUCAAGAGGAACACCUGAGGCGAAGGCGG